rnacentral:lncRNA from 1 species
GCCGGAUGAUCGGGCGGAAGAUGCGGCCCGGGCAGGAUGGGGGCUAAGAGGGGUGUUAUGAAUUGUGCAAAGUCCCUGGAAACCAAAGAACGAGCGGCCGGAGAAAGGGGCGCCGCUUUAGCAGGGCGGCGGGGACAGGCCGCCUCCAGCAGGCGGAGUCUCCGUCGCCCAGGCUGGAGCACAGCACUUUCAGAGGCCGAGGAAGGCGGAUCACCUGAGGUUGGGAAUUGGAGACCAGCCUGGCCAACAUGGUGAAAUCCUGUCUCGACUAAAAAUACAAAAAUUAACCAGGCGUGGUGGCGUGCUUCUGUAAUCCCAGCUACUCGGGAGGCUGAGGCAGGAGAAUUGCUUUAACCUGGGAGGUGGAGGCUGCAGUGAGCCGAGAUCGUGCCACUCAACUCCAACCUGGGCGACAGAGCGAGACUCUGUCUCAAAAAAUAAAAAGAAUUCUGAAUGCUGACAACCGAGACUACAAUGAACCCUGCCUACACAUGCCUUCCCUCCCUCUCCUUGAGCUGGACCUGGGGUGGGCCUUCGAAGCUGGGUCCCGUACAAGCUUCUGCUGUUCACGCUGAAGUGAACCUGGCCAGUGCUGCCCAGAGACCUCCGGCGGCCACCUAGCAGCCAGACUGUAGCAGGAUGAGCCACAGACAAAACUCCUGACACUGGAUUAAAGAAGAGGUUUUUAUUCGGCCGGCAGCAUCAGCAGACUCGCGUCUUAAGCUCCCCGAAAAAGAGAUUCUUGGCCUUUUUAAAGGCUUACAACUUUAAGGGGUCCACGUGAAAGGGUCGUGAUACAUCAAGCAAGUGUGGAAAACGUGAGUGGGGGCUGCAUGCAUCAGCUAACACAACAGAAAGUUUUACAAUGCUUUUUCGUAGUGUCUGGAAUUUACAGAUAACACAAGUAGUUUAGGUCAGUGGUUGAUGUUAUUAUUACUUUUUUUUUAACUCCUAGGGCCGGGUGGUGGUGCCAAGGUUGUCUGUUUAUCUUACUUUUGCAUUUUUUUUCCAACUUUUUGCAUUUUCUCUCCUCCUGUCUUGUGAACUAGGCAAGGUGGUGGGAGGAAGGCAGCAGGAGUAGUAGUGGUCUCCUUCCUUAAGACCACACUCCAAACUUUGGACCGUUGGUUUCAAGCCCGGUGGGUUCAGGUCAACCCACAGGCGAAUUUUCAAACAUUCUACACAUCUCAGGGGCUGCCAGCCAAGACUUGCCCCCACUUCUGACUACCCAGCCAGGUCCAGGCCCUCAGUGGCCUCCCCGGUCUCCUUACUUCCUGGCAGGGUUGGCCAGGGCGCCCGGUGCAGUGGAGGGCUUGAGGCACGACCACGUGCAGCACCGUCCCACUGGCUACGGGCCCCUCUGGACACCAGCCAGGCAGGUCCAGUCCCACCGACUCAUGCUGCCUGGGGGUCUCCCGGCUGUACUGGAGCCAAGCUUAUAACCCUGGGCCAUCCUUCCUCUGUCCAACCCACCUUUUCCCAAACAGAGAGAAAAACACGGACCCACACUUUCUCUGUAAUGUAACUUAAUUCCAAAUCGAGAGGUAAGAACACGAGCAAAUCAUGGUUUUUUUUUUUUUUUUUUUUUGAGGCAGAGUCUAGCUCUUGUUGCCCGGGCUAGAGUGCGAUUUCCGCCUCCUGGGUUCAAGUGACUCUCCUGCUUCAGCCUCUCAAGUAGCUGAGAUUAUAGCCGCAUGCCACCAUGCCCAGUUAGGCUAAUUUUUUUGUAUUUUCAGUAGAGACAAGGUUUUACCACGUUGGUCAGGCUGGUCUCGAACUCCUGACCUCAGGUGAUCCACCCAUCUCGGCCUCCCAAAGUGCUAGGAUCACAGACGUGAACCACCGCGCCUGGCUGCAAAUCAUGUUUAAAUUUGAAGAUAUAGCCAGCUGCAGUGUCUCAUGCCUGUGAUCCCAGCACUUUGGGAAGCAGUGGGAAGAUCACCUGAGCCCAUGAGAUUUAGGCUGCAGUGAGCCAUGAUCACACCACUGCACUCCGGCUGGGCAACAAAUUUAAAAAAAAAAGUGGAGAAACAUUAUAGAAGAGGGCCCACAGGAGGCUGUUGUGGGCCAUUUGAGGGUGAAGGUGGGGCUCCUCACAUCUCCCCUGCCCCCAUCUGCCUGGCUGAGCUCUCACCCUCCUGUCCACUGCCCAAGGGGAGGCCCACCCCACAUCCCUGGGCCACUCUGCUGGGUGCUUAGUGAGCAAAGUUACCACCUUCUGGGCUGAGGUGACUCCAGCAUUGAACGGGGUUAGUUCUCACCAUGUUCUCCAACCCACGUACGGCCAUCAGAGAGCCCAUGGAGGGCUGGACGGUGCCCCCCACCCACAGGCACAGCCACUUUGUCCUGUUCUU